rnacentral:rRNA from 1 species
UACAGAGGGUGCAAGCGUUGUUCGGAAUUAUUGGGCGUAAAGGGCGCGUAGGCGGUGCUGUAAGUCUGUAGUGAAAUCUCUGGGCUCAACUCAGAGUCUGCUAUAGAAACUGCAGUGCUAGAGUGUGGGAGAGGUGAGUGGAAUUCCCGGUGUAGCGGUGAAAUGCGUAGAUAUCGGAAGGAACACCAGUGGCGAAAGCGGCUUCCUGGUCCAGCACCGACGUUCAGGCACGAAAGCGUGGGGAGCAAACAGG